rnacentral:rRNA from 1 species
GUUUAAAAUAAUUAAAAAAUUUUUAAUAAUUUUUUUUUAAAUAAAUUGAUAAAAUAAUAUUAAUAUAUAGUAUUAGGAUUAGAAAUAAAAAAUUUUUAUAUGUACUGAAAAGGAAAAAUAUAGAUUUUAUUUUUAGUAAAUUUAAAAAAUUGUACCUUUUGCAUUAUGGAUUAAUAAUAUAGAAUGAUAUAUGUUUAAAGUCUCGAAAUAAAAAGAUUUAUUUAUUAUAUAUAUAUAUAUAUAUAUAUAUAUAUAUUUAGUUAACGUUGUAAAGUUAUUAAAUUAAUAAUAGAUGGUAGUGAAAUGCUAUACGAUUUUUAUGGUAGCUAGUUUAUUAAAAAAAACAUUUUAGUGUUAAAAAUUUGGUUUAUAUAAUUAUAUAAAUAAAAUUUUUUAUAUGUAGGGGAUAAGCUCUAUAUUAAUAUAAGAAGUAAUAGAAUGAGAUAGUUUAAGUUUUAUUAAUUAUUUUUCUUUUUGACUAUAUAAAUUUAUAUUGUUCUUUAAAAAAUAAUAAAUUUUUAUUAAUUAUAAAAUAAUUAUAUAUAAUGUUAAUAUGAGUAAAAUAUAGUAUGAUUAUAUAAAUAUAAUAUUUUUUGAUUAUUAUAUUAAUAAUUAUUUAUUUUAAUAAAAUAUUAUAAAGGAAUUCAGCAAAUAUUAAUUUCGCCUGUUUAACAAAAACAUGUCUCUUUGAAUAAAAAUAAUAAAGAGUUGGGCCUGCUCGGUGAAAUCAACUUUAACAGCUGCGGUUUAAUAUCUGUACUAAGGUAGCAUAAUAAAUUGUCUUAUAAAUUGGGACUAGAAUGAAUGGUUUGACGAAAAUUAUACUGUCUCUAUUAUAAUUUUUUGAAAUUAAUUUUUAAAGUGAAAAAGCUUAAAUUUUUUAAAGGGACGAGAAGACCCUAUUGAGCUUUAUAUUAAAAAUAAAUAUAAAAGUAAAUAUAAUAUUAUUUUUUAAUUUUGGUUGGGGUGAUCAAGGAAUAAAAAUAAUACAUAACUUCCUUAAUUUUUAUUUCCUUUAGGUUAAUAAACAAAUAUUUUUCUUUUAUGAUAAGUUACCAUAGGGAUAACAGCGUAAUUUCUUUUGAGAGUUCUUAUUAAAAAAGAAGAUUGCGACCUCGAUGUUGGAUUAAAAUUAACCUUAAGGUGGAGAAGCUUUAUUUGGUAAAUCUGUUCGAUUUUUAAAAUUUUACAUGAUCUGAGUUCAAACCGGUGUAAGCCAGGUUGGUUUCUAUCUUUUAAAAUUUAUUUUAUAUUUAAUUUAGUACGAAAGGAAUAAUUAAAAUUAAUUAAACAAUUAGUUGAGAUAAU